AAAGUUAAAUGCAGAAAUACACAUUGCUCUAUUAUGGGACUGUGUGCCUCCAUCUUGACUCCCGAUCAGUCUUUGUUAUAAUCUCUCCCCUUUUCUACCACUGAGCAAAGUAUAUAUGGAGUUGGAAUAUCUCCUUUCUGUUUCUCCUUCUCGAAUGGAAAGUGUGCCUUGUCUGUGCCAAGCUGGAUUGGGAAGCCAAAUUCUUUAGUAGACAGAAUAAAAGACAGCAUCACAUAAUAAA